rnacentral:rRNA from 1 species
UACGUAGGGGGCAAGCGUUGUCCGGAAUUAUUGGGCGUAAAGAGCGUGUAGGCGGCCAGAUAAGUCCGCUGUGAAAUCUCGAGGCUCAACUUCGAGCUGUCGGUGGAAACUAUCUGGCUAGAGUCCGGAAGAGGCGAGUGGAAUUCCCGGUGUAGCGGUGAAAUGCGCAGAUAUCGGGAGGAACACCAAUGGCGAAGGCAGCUCGCUGGGACGUUACUGACGCUGAGACGCGAAAGCGUGGGGAGCAAACAGG